rnacentral:tRNA from 1 species
GGUCUGAUAGCUCAACUGGCAGAGCACUGCACCAGCAUUGCAGAGAUCAGGAUGCGAGUCCUGUUCAGGCUU